rnacentral:rRNA from 1 species
GGCGAACGGGUGAGUAACACGUGGGUGAUCUGCCCUGCACUUCGGGAUAAGCCUGGGAAACUGGGUCUAAUACCGGAUAGGACGAUGGUUUGGAUGCAAUUGUGGAAAGUUUUUCGGUGUGGGAUGAGCUCGCGGCCUAUCAGCUUGUUGGUGGGGUAAUGGCCUACCAAGGCGUCGACGGGUAGCCGGCCUGAGAGGGUGUACGGCCACAUUGGGACUGAGAUACGGCCCAG